CGGCUGGACUGGAAUCCCAGCAGGCGACAUGCGAGGAGGCGGGCAGCCCAGGAGGAGGGUUGGACACGGCAAUGUGGACCUCGCCGCUUCCACAACGAUGCUGGCUACUGAUCGCGUGCACUUCCUUGCCAAGGAAAAUUCGUGCUGUGCACUAACAUGCAAUACAAAUACUGAUGAAAAUAAAACUAUUGCCCUCCUACCAAAUGAGAAAUUAAUGUUAUGACUGGUUGAAGACAAUUGUGAAGAAACUGCACUUUGAGGUUGUCUAUCUCUGUAUUCUGAUGGAAAAGCGUGGAGUUUAGAAGCACUGCUCGCUCCUUCAGUUUCUAACAAGUUCGAGACUAUGGUUAGGUGGUGAGGAAGGCAGGCUCAGCACCCAAGCCUUGGGGAGAUGCAGAAAGGGCCCAUCCCAGGCACUCAGGUGGAGUAAAACUGAUGCUCCGGAAAGAUGCCCAGGGAGAUUCUGUCCUGCUGCGUCCGCACUGUACAGAACUGACGCUGUGCCUACGCCCGUUUCAGAAGCGUGGAGUACUUAAGAGUUAAUCUAAA
rnacentral:lncRNA from 1 species